AUGCAUCAAGAAUGAGCUAUGACUUUUCCUAGACUGCAACUAUUGCCCAAACAGAAAAAGGUGAAGAAAAGAGACAAUGAAAAUUAUGUAGAUUCUUGCACAUGAAAUUAAUUUUACGAUUCAGCACCCGAAAAAGGCCUAACCAGGGAUAUAAAACAUUUAAACAAAUAUUAUAUGACAUCUAUAAUGUCUAAAUUUAACAUUUGAU
rnacentral:misc_RNA from 1 species